rnacentral:rRNA from 1 species
UACGAAGGGUGCAAACGUUGCUCGGAAUCACUGGGCGUAAAGCGUGCGUAGGCGGUUCGUUAAGUCUGCUGUGAAAGCCCUGGGCUCAACCUGGGAACUGCAGUGGAUACUGGCGGACUAGAGUGUGAUAGAGGAUGGUGGAAUUCCCGGUGUAGCGGUGAAAUGCGUAGAGAUCGGGAGGAACACCAGUGGCGGAAGGCGGCCAUCUGGAUCAACACUGACGCUGAGGCACGAAAGCGUGGGGGAGCAAACAGG